UGGCCGUAGUUUAAAAGUUUUUGACAGGUACUAGGGACAAUAUUCUCUACUAUUCCGAUAUAUGUCGUUAGAAAGAAACAAAAUGAAACGUAGAAGGGUGCUAAAGAGUGUUUAUUUUGUCACUAACAUAUAUUUAAGCUCAAUCUAUGGUAGACUGAUUUUGUGAUUGUUUUUUGCGAAUUUAAUUCUUCUAUUAAAUUAUUUUUAAUCAUUUCAUCCAUAUCAUAUAGUACUGCAUCAACAAUUGGUUGAUCGUGAUUACGAGAGAAGCUUGGAUUAUUGCAUCUGGUUACUAUAUAUGGUAUAUGACGACCCUCAAUUACUGCCACGUAUUUUGUGCUCAGACGAAGCUACAUUUAGUAGUGAUGAAAGAAAUAUGUGUGCCAUCAUAGCUCAUUUAAAAAGAAAACCAACACAAACAAGAAAUCAAAAAAUUGCGAAUGUAUGGCUAACAUUUCAAUAGUGGUUAGAGUAACUACAAAAAAUAUAAUUGCAAAGCAUCUCCAUGUUAAGGAACGUCUGCCGGCAGUAAUUACUAUAAAUAAUAAACAGACACUGAAGAUGCUUUGUCCGCAUUGCCAGCUUCAUCAGAAACCAGAUAAUUGUUUGAAACGUACUUUAAUAAUGGCAUGGGUAUAACCGAAUCUAUUAAUUACCAUCUAAACAAACUUGAAUUAGAAGUGGAUGAAGAAGAUCUGGCCAAUGGUUCCAUAAACCCAAAAUAUCGUACAGUACGAUAUUGGUACGACAAAUGGCGAAGUGUUAAUUUAGGAUCGCGUUUUGGCAAAGGAAUGCUAGAGAAAAUUCAAGACAAGCAGCCACAGUAUACAGGAAAAGGUGUUACUAUAAAGGUCGAAGAAGACCCUUUUACAGCUGUGAUAGUUACACAAAUCAUGAGAAGAGCGCAUAUUUUAUAUUGUGCUGGGGAUAUAGUAUUUGUAGAGAGCACGGAGUCCUGUGACGCGGAAAAUCAUUCUAUAACUUUUAUGUUAACAGUAUGCUCUGCAGGUGCUGUACCACUAGCAGUAAUUAUAAACAAGGGUCAAUCAAAACGCGACUACAUAGCAGGCUUUAAAAUGGUAAUAGAAGCUGUUGGCUAUUCGACUUUUAGGGGAAAAGGGUUUCCUGGGUGUUUUAUGACAGAUGAUAGCGAAGCAGAGAGACAAGCCCUCAAUACAGUUUUUCCACAAACACGUUUAUUACGUUGUUCUUUUUACAUCGCGCAAUCAGUUUGGAGAUGGCUAAUUGGAGAAAAAAACAUAACAUACCAAAAGAAAAUAGGGAAAAGUUGUAUUAUUGAUUUAGAAAUAUAUUAAACUUCAUCUCCAGAAAAUGCUUCCGAUGCUUUUCAUAAUGCAUCAAAUAACGACCUAUCACAAAAAUAUACUCACUGGGUAGAAUAUGUUAAUAACUAUUGGACCCGACGCGAAGACUGGUGUUAAGCUUAUCAUGAUGGCUAUACUCAUGGUCAUCAAACGAAUAACUUUUUGGAAGUAUAUGUACGCCUAUAUAAAGACAUAGUACUUUCUCGAUGUAAAGCUUACAACGUAGUUGCCCUAGUGGACUUUACUUGUACGACUAUGGAACAAUAUUACAUUCGACGUCUAAGAAAUUUUGCUAAUAGAGGGUACAGUGAAGGAAACCAUCUUUUAAAAUCACAACUGAAGAAAGUAAGCUAUCUAAAAAAGGAUAGCAUACAAAAAAUAGAUGAGUUCACAUACAAAGUUCCAAGUGAAAAAAUUAUCAAAUGCUACAGUAUGUAAAAUCAAGCAGGAGUUUAUUUAUAUUAUUACGGCCCAGAAGCAAAUGAUUCCGAAAUUCGUUACCAAAUCGUAUGCUUGGCAUGUCUAUAAAGUUAGCACAGCCAAAUGAGCACAAUCGAUUUUAAUUAACACAACAAUUUAGUGCUUUUUCUGUGCUAAUUAAUUGCGUAAUUUUUAAUUUUUGUGCUUUUACCAUUUCGCUGAAAUCGAUGGCUGUGUCAGCUUCCAAAAAAGCUAGCACAGCCAUACAAGAAAAAUUGUUUCUGGCACAUCGAUUUAUUGCUAAUUAUGUGCUUUCAGUAUAUGCUAUAAAAAACCAAUUUCGGAUCACGAUUGGUCAAAAAACCAAUCCCAGCCCGAUGAGGUGUAAGAGUAAAGUCCUUGAAAUUUUCAGUAUAAUCGAACCUAAAUAGUCGAUUUCUAACGAAUUAAUAAUUUGCUUUCAAAAUAUUUAUGCAGAGUUUUUGUUGCUCUCAACCCUUUAUUGCAAAAAUUCACCCCCAGCCCGACGUGGUGCAAGAGUAAAGUCCUCGAAAUUCUCAGUACAAUCGAACCUAAAUACUAGAUGUAGAGUUUUUGUUGCUCAACCCUUCAUGGCAAAAAACCACUUCUAGCCCGACGAGGUGCAAGACUAAAGUCCCCGAAAUUAUUAACAUAAUCGAACUUGAAUUGUCGAUUUUGAAUGCAUUAAUAAAUAAUUGCUCAAUUCUUCAUGUUAAAAAACGAUCUUCAGCUUGAUGACACUUUCGAUUGCUCGUUAAAACGGGCAUAUACAAUGAUACUUUCUUUAAAAACUAUAAAAAAAACUAAUUUUAAACGCUAUGCUUAUAUACAUGAACUUCAAUGUUCAUCUACUCGAGAAUUGGUUAGAAGAAGAAUCUGAAAAUAUUUGUAUAGAGCUAUGUAACACUAAAGAAUAUAUUAACCAAAUUUUAUUGAAUUUUAAGCAUUUUUAAAUUUUUUAAGUUUUUAACAUAGUUUACCAUAGCAACAUUGUAUUGACGGUCACCAAGCUCCUUGAUUUUUUGUUUGUCGCUCGUUUUUAAAUUCAACAAUACAAUUAAUUAUUAGUUACCGAUCAUUCCUUCUUCCUAUCGAGCAAUCCCAUCACAUCCCUAUGUUUGGCAUUGACGAGGAGGGGAUAUGAUACUCACGUUUAAAUUGAGAUCUAACGAAAAAGACAUCGGUAUAAAUAUUUUGGAAUUACAAAUAAGUUAAUGAGAACUCCAUACGAAUAGAACUAUAUUUGCAUUGUAUAUAUUGGGUAAUGCCGCCAAUGAUGACAAUAAAGUUAAAAAAAUGAGUAAUAUUCUAAAAUGUUGGGGCUCACUGAUAGGUAGUUUUCGUAAGGGUCUUUCUAAAAAUUGUGUAGAGAGAAUUAAUUUUCUUGAUAACAUAACGUCACAAAAGUAUUUUAACUCAGUAUAUAGAAAAUAGAUACGAUGGAUUAUCCCCUGACCCAUUCAUAAAUAACUAUAACUAUAAAUAACACAUUAUUGAUCAAUACGUCACAUAGUCUUAGAGAGUCACAUCACAAAAUGAGUUGGGCCAAGCAACGCUUGGUGAUUGAAAACUUGCGUUUAAAUGAGUUGACUUCGGCGUAAAUUCAAAGAUUUGGUGUAUAAAUUAGGGGAAUCUAUAUACCUUAACUAGUAAAAUUCUGAUGUCCUGCAUUUGAAUGAGGUAGACAGUCGUGUUUAGAGGAAGAAGCAGGUGGAGCACCUAUAAUCGGCACCACGCAAGAAAAUAAAAGAAGCCUGGAAAACUGUUGACAAUGGAUUCAACGCGAAAGUGUCUGUAGGGGGAAGUAUUCUGCAGCUCCAAGAUAAAUACAAAAACUAGAAAGAUGCAAAGACUAUUUGAUUUAUUUGAUGUUUUGCAUGUGAUCCGUUGUGUUAUCUUCUGUAGUGUCGAGCAGAAAAAGUAAGCAAAAGCUACAAUCAUAAAAAGGUCUUGGUCAGUGACGUAAAUAUACCUCGUAAACUAAAGAAUGCUGUUAACCAACAACUUUGAUCAAUAACUAAUCUGCUGAUAGAAGUAAAAAAUAAAUCUAAAAAAAUAUAUUACUGGAGAAGGAAACUAAAAUUAUGGAAAGAAACGGAGCAAGAGAGUUAGACGAGCACAAAAAAAUUACAAGAUGAUG